GACGAACGCUGGCGGCGUGCUUACACAUGCUUGUCGAACGGAAAGGCCCUGCUUUUGUGGGGUGCUCGAGUGGCGAACGGGUGAGUAACACGUGAGUAACCUGCCCUUGACUUUGGGAUAACUUCAGGAAACUGGGGCUAAUACCGGAUAGGAGCUCCUGCUGCAUGGUGGGGGUUGGAAAGUUUCGGCGGUUGGGGAUGGACUCGCGGCUUAUCAGCUUGUUGGUGGGGUAGUGGCUUACCAAGGCUUUGACGGGUAGCCGGCCUGAGAGGGUGACCGGCCACAUUGGGACUGAGAUACGGCCCAGACUCCUACGGGAGGCAGCAGUGGGGAAUAUUGCACAAUGGGCGGAAGCCUGAUGCAGCAACGCCGCGUGCGGGAUGACGGCCUUCGGGUUGUAAACCGCUUUCGCCUGUGACGAAGCGUGAGUGACGGUAAUGGGUAAAGAAGCACCGGCUAACUACGUGCCAGCAGCCGCGGUGAUACGUAGGGUGCGAGCGUUGUCCGGAUUUAUUGGGCGUAAAGGGCUCGUAGGUGGUUGAUCGCGUCGGAAGUGUAAUCUUGGGGCUUAACCCUGAGCGUGCUUUCGAUACGGGUUGACUUGAGGAAGGUAGGGGAGAAUGGAAUUCCUGGUGGAGCGGUGGAAUGCGCAGAUAUCAGGAGGAACACCAGUGGCGAAGGCGGUUCUCUGGGCCUUUCCUGACGCUGAGGAGCGAAAGCGUGGGGAGCGAACAGGCUUAGAUACCCUGGUAGUCCACGCUGUAAACGGUGGGUACUAGGUGUGGGGUCCAUUCCACGGGUUCCGUGCCGUAGCUAACGCUUUAAGUACCCCGCCUGGGGAGUACGGCCGCAGGGCUAAAACUCAAAGGAAUUGACGGGGCCCCGCACAAGCGGCGGAGCAUGCGGAUUAAUUCGAUGCAACGCGUAGAACCUUACCUGGGUUUGACAUGGAUCGGGAGUGCUCAGAGAUGGGUGUGCCUCUUUUGGGGUCGGUUCACAGGUGGUGCAUGCCUGUCGUCAGCUCGUGUCGUGAGAUGUUGGGUUAAGUCCCGCAACGAGCGCAACCCUUGUUCACUGUUGCCAGCACGUUAUGGUGGGGACUCAGUGGAGACCGCCGGGGUCAACUCGGAGGAAGGUGGGGACGACGUCAAGUCAUCAUGCCCCUUAUGUCCAGGGCUUCACGCAUGCUACAAUGGCUGGUACAGAGAGUGGCGAGCCUGUGAGGGUGAGCGAAUCUCGGAAAGCCGGUCUCAGUUCGGAUUGGGGUCUGCAACUCGACCUCAUGAAGUCGGAGUCGCUAGUAAUCGCAGAUCAGCAACGCUGCGGUGAAUAAAUUCCCGGGGCU
rnacentral:rRNA from 1 species